GUACUCUGCAAGCUCUGAGAGCCAUGCAAGAACUGGGUGUUGCAUCAGACAUGGAUACUUUUAGUAUCUAUAUCCUGCCGUCCUUCCCAUCAGUGGACAGUGCCCGCACUUCUCUUAAGGAGGCAGGUAUUGACGUGGACGCCAAUAUUUUGAUUGCGGCAGAAUUACGAGCCGAAGCGUCACGUGGAAACCUUGCAGGGCUGUUCUCUCUAAACACAACUCUGGAGAGAUGUACCCUUUAGAUGUACCCUGUAUGAUAGUGCUCAUCACUUGGAGACUAAUUGCCGUCCAUCAGGACUUCACAUACAUAGCCACUCAAACAUGCACUCUA